rnacentral:rRNA from 1 species
GUAUAGAACCUACCUUAUAUUGGGGGAUAGCCCAGAGAAAUUUGGAUUAAUACCCCAUAGUAUGCUGAAUUGGCAUCAGUUUAGUAUUAAAGAUUUAUCGAUAUAAGAUGGCUAUGCGUUCUAUUAGCUAGUUGGUAAGGUAACGGCUCACCAAGGCGACGAUAGAUAGGGGUCCUGAGAGGGAGAUCCCCCACACUGGUACUGAGACACGGACCAGACUCCUACGGGAGGCAGCAGUGAGGAAUAUUGGACAAUGGAGGCAACUCUGAUCCAGCCAUGCCGCGUGCAGGAAGACUGCCCUAUGGGUUGUAAACUGCUUUUAUAGAGGAAGAAACCGCUCUACGUGUAGAGCUCUGACGGUACUCUACGAAUAAGGAUCGGCUAACUCCGUGCCAGCAGCCGCGGUAAUACGGAGGAUCCAAGCGUUAUCCGGAAUCAUUGGGUUUAAAGGGUCCGUAGCGGGCUUAUAAGUCAGUGGUGAAAGUUUGCGGCUCAACCGUAAAAUUGCCAUUGAUACUGUAGGUCUUGAAUCAUUGUGAAGUGGUUAGAAUGUGUAGUGUAGCGGUGAAAUGCAUAGAUAUUACACAGAAUACCGAUUGCGAAGCAGAUCACUAACAAUUGAUUGACGCUCAGGGACGAAAGCGUGGGUAGCGAACAGGAUUAGAUACCCUGGUAGUCCACGCCGUAAACGAUGGUUACUAGCUGUUUGGACUUCGGUCUGAGUGGCUAAGCGAAAGUGAUAAGUAACCCACCUGGGGAGUACGUUCGCAAGAAUGAAACUCAAAGGAAUUGACGGGGGCCCGCACAAGCGUGGAGCAUGUGGUUUAAUUCGAUGAUACGCGAGGAACCUUACCAGGGCUUAAAUGUAGUCUGACAGCUUUAGAGAUAGAGUUUUCUUCGGACAGAUUA